rnacentral:rRNA from 1 species
GACUUAUAUUCUGUAGCAAGGUUAACCGUAUAGGGGAGCCGAAGGGAAACCGAGUCUUAACUGGGCGUUAAGUUGCAGGGUAUAGACCCGAAACCCGGUGAUCUAGCCAUGGGCAGGUUGAAGGUUGGGUAACACUAACUGGAGGACCGAACCGACUAAUGUUGAAAAAUUAGCGGAUGACUUGUGGCUGGGGGUGAAAGGCCAAUCAAACCGGGAGAUAGCUGGUUCUCCCCGAAAGCUAUUUAGGUAGCGCCUCGUGAACUCAUCUUCGGGGGUAGAGCACUGUUUCGGCUAGGGGGUCAUCCCGACUUACCAACCCGAUGCAAACUGCGAAUACCGAAGAAUGUUAUCACGGGAGACACACGGCGGGUGCUAACGUCCGUCGUGAAGAGGGAAACAACCCAGACCGCCAGCUAAGGUCCCAAAGUCACAGUUAAGUGGGAAACGAUGUGGGAAGGCUCAGACAGCCAGGAUGUUGGCUUAGAAGCAGCCAUCAUUUAAAGAAAGCGUAAUAGCUCACUGGUCGAGUCGGCCUGCGCGGAAGAUGUAACGGGGCUAAACUGUGCACCGAAGCUGCGGCAGCGACGCUUAUGCGUUGUUGGGUAGGGGAGCGUUCUGUAAGCCUGCGAAGGUGUCCUGUGAGGGAUGCUGGAGGUAUCAGAAGUGCGAAUGCUGACAUAAGUAACGAUAAUGCGGGUGAAAAGCCCGCUCGCCGGAAGACCAAGGGUUCCUGUCCAACGUUAAUCGGGGCAGGGUGAGUCGACCCCUAAGGCGAGGCCGAAAGGCGUAGUCGAUGGGAAACGGGUUAAUAUUCCCGUACUUGGUGUUACUGCGAAGGGGGGACGGAGAAGGCUAUGUUGGCCGGGCGACGGUUGUCCCGGUUUAAGCGUGUAGGCUGGUUUUCCAGGCAAAUCCGGAAAAUCAAG